GCGCGGGCGGCGGGUAGGCGUUGGGGGAGGGGGAGGAGCUGAGAGGGCAAUGGCCCCCCAUCUCCCAUAAAUUUUUCCAUUUCUAGUGCUAGAGAGGUAUAUUAUUUUCCUUUUUACAUAUUGCAAAUGUAUUUCUAAAUUAUAUUACAAUUUAUGGAUAACUGAAUCUCCAACUCUAUCCCUUUAUCGUUUAGUUAUUAAAAGUUUAAUAUUUGGAUCCAAUUAAAUUAUUAUUAUUAUUAUUA
rnacentral:misc_RNA from 1 species